rnacentral:ncRNA from 2 species
GUCGUUCAUCUCCAUUUUUGGAAGACGGAAGUAGGGAUUAUCCCGAAGGAACGCGCC